GUUCAUGUCUCAAAAAAGAGUUUAACGAUUUUCCUCUUAACUGAGACCCCCAAAUCAAUUCUGAUUUGAGUCCUCAAUUCAACUAUUUAUAUAUUUCAGGUACCAUGUUCAUUUUUUUUUUUCAGUGAAUGGAAUUAUUUAUACUUUUCAGACUAAUUUCAAUCAGUAACUCAUCUUUGUGAACUUAAUGUAAAGAACCGACUCGGAGAACUGGCUUUAAGGUGACCAGAUUUCUAAAAUGAAGUCUUGUACCAAUCCCCCAAAACUUUGUAUGUGAGGUACAAUCAGUUUUAGUAACAUACAAAUUCUUACCCUUCUUCAGAGCCCACGGCAAAGGCCUAAUUCUCUUAUUAUCUUUCUCACAGGUGGUGACCUGUCCCAAUGCUUCUUUCAAUGGCCUGACCAAAAUAGUGUCCAGAAUUAGAGCCAGUGAAGCAGGCUGUCAUGGAAGACAGAGCAGCAGCUGGAGAAUUACGUGGAGAAAAUGGAUAUCAAGAUCACAAAGACAGAAAAUCCAAAAUGCUUACCUCAGAAUGUGAGACCAUCUGCACUAAAAGAAAACAGUAAGACUCAGUUAUAACCACAACACUUCUUGAGACAUUUUAUAAUGACUGUCAUUUUUCUUUCUUUCUUUCUUUCUUUCUUUUCACUAACAUAAUCUUGAGUUUUGCAAUCAAUCAAUGUUUGAAUGACUUUUGACUCACUAAAGACAGUCUUUUCGGAAGUUUGUCUGGAAGACAUGCAAAGUGAUAUAAGCAUAUAUAACCACAAAUUAGGGAAACAGUUGUAUCUGAAUCCCCACUGAGGUAGAUACAGUGAUUAUUAAAUGUUUAAUGUGUCUAUUUGGCAUGAGUGACUGGUUCUUUAUUGGCCUGAUGUCACUUCCUCAAAAAUCAUGCCUCACAUCACUUUGAAAUUUGCCCCAUGGCACAGUCUUCGGUUUUGAUUGACUUAUGAGCUGAUUAGUAUUGAGGCGCCUCUCCUUCCUUUGUCCCUUUCACCUCCAGCUAUCUUCAAGAUUAACUACCUUCUGGCAACAUAUUCAAAGUCACAGCCCAGAGCUCCACUUAAAGUCAUAAUCUAAUCAGAUACGGGACCCUGGCUAGCUCACAAAAGCC
ensembl:lncRNA